GUUGGGAGGGUAGUUCAUACCUGUAAUCCCAACUCCUAGGGAGGCUAAAGCUGGUGGAUUGCUUGCACUCAGGAGUUUUGAGCUAUAAUGAACCGUGCCAAUAGUGUAUUUGCAUUAAAUUAGGCAUUAAUAUGGUGAGUGCCUUUGAUCAUGGAGCCACUAAAUUGCCUAAGGAAGGGCAAACUGACCCAGAUUGGAAAUGGGGUAGGGCAAAAUUCUCAGGUCAAUUAGUAGUGAGAUCAGGUCUGUGAAUAGUUUGUGAGUGAGAUAGGGACAAUCAGUCUUA
rnacentral:SRP_RNA from 1 species